GGCGACGUAGCUCAGCUGGUUAGAGCGAUGGAAUCAUAAUCCACAGGUCCGGGGUUCGAAUCCCUGCGUCGCUA
rnacentral:tRNA from 1 species